AAGGGACAGGAACACGUAGACUACCUGCCCUCGGGUCUGGCAUAGCCACGGGAAACUGUGGGUAAUUCCAGAUAAUAUCUCCGGAUCAAAGGUGUGAUUCCGCCCGAGGAUGGGUCUGCGUCCUAUUAGCUAGUUGGUGAGGUAACGGCUCACCAAGGCGAUGAUGGGUAGCAGGUGUGAGAGCACGACCUGCGUCAUUGGGACUGAGACACUGCCCAGACACCUACGGGUGGCUGCAGUCGAGAAUUUUUGGCAAUGGGGGAAACCCUGACCAAGCGAUGCCGCGUGCGGGAUGAAGGUCUUCGGAUUGUAAACCGCUGUCAGUGGGGAGAAAAGGAUAGUGAGUUAUCUCAUUAUUUUGAUCUAUCCGCAGAGGAAGUGUGGGCUAAGCUCGUGCCAGCAGCCGCGGUAAGACGAGCCACACAAACGUUAUUCGGAAUUACUGGGCUUAAAGGGUGCGUAGGCUGCGCGGAAAGUUGGGUGUGAAAUACCUCGGCUCAACCGAGGAACUGCGCCCAAAACUACCGUGCUCGAGGAAGAUAGAGGUGAGCGGAACUUACGGUGGAGCGGUGAAAUGCGUUGA
rnacentral:rRNA from 1 species